AUACAGAGGGUGCAAGCGUUAAUCGGAAUUACUGGGCGUAAAGCGCGCGUAGGUGGUUUGUUAAGUUGGAUGUGAAAUCCCCGGGCUCAACCUGGGAACUGCAUCCAAAACUGGCAAGCUAGAGUAUGGUAGAGGGUGGUGGAAUUUCCUGUGUAGCGGUGAAAUGCGUAGAUAUAGGAAGGAACACCAGUGGCGAAGGCGACCACUGGGAUGUAUACGGACCCUGAGCGGCGAAAGCGUGGGGAGCAAACAGAAUUGGAUACCCUGGUAGUCCACGCCGUAAACGAUGUCAACUAGCCGUUGGGAGCCUUGAGCUCUUAGUGGCGCAGCUAACGCAUUAAGUUGACCGCCUGGGGAGUACGGCCGCAAGGUUAAAACUCAAAUGAAUUGACGGGG
rnacentral:rRNA from 1 species